rnacentral:rRNA from 1 species
AUUGAACGCUGGCGGCAGGCCUAACACAUGCAAGUCGAGCGAGCGGCGGACGGGUGAGUAAUGUAUGGGGAUCUGCCUGAUGGAGGGGGAUAACUACUGGAAACGGUAGCUAAUACCGCAUACCAGCAGAUGCACCCAUAGGGGAUUAGCUUGUAGGUGAGGUAACGGCUCACCUGGGCGACGAUCCCUAGCUGGUCUGAGAGGAUGAUGGGCCACACUGGGACUGAGACACGGCCCAGACUCUUACGGGAGGCAGCAGUGGGGAAUAUUGCACAAUGGGCGCAAGCCUGAUGCAGCCAUGCCGCGUGUAUGAAGAAGGCCUUCGGGUUGUAAAGUACUUUCAGUCGGGAGGCGUUACCGACAGAAGAAGCACCGGCUAACUCCGUGCCAGCAGCCGCGGUAAUUC